rnacentral:lncRNA from 10 species
AUUACAUAUCUGAAUCACGAGGCAUUUAGGACGGGAAUGAAAAGAAGAUCGGGGGAGGUGUUUUAAAAACCAGGUUCUCCUCUUAGCUUGACCAUUCAGGAGCUGAGGGACCUGGGCAAGUCCCUCCACCUCUCUGGGCCUCUGCAUGUAAAGGGGCGUUUGGGCUAAAUGAUUUGUAAACCUCUGUUCUUCCAAGAUUCUCCCCUCUCAGGGAACUGAAAAGAUGAGAGUGUUUCUGUUUAACAGCACUACAAAAAGCCUAAUUGUGACAACAAGCGCCUCUACCCUAGUGAGGAGGAAAGAUUUUUCAGAGCUUCAGCAAUCUGAUUUUUUUUUAAAGAUAAAACUGAUUUUCUCGAUCGACUCUCUUCAGUCUAACCCAAUAAAUACGCAUUGCAAUCAUUUUAAUUUUUGUAAGAUCUUGAUGGGGAAAACAGAGGGAAAGAACACCUAAAACACGAGAUUAUUCCACAACCAAGGACGAAAGAGAAAUAGCUUUGACUGAGGGCUUGCGCUUGCUAGACACUGCGCCUAAUAUGUACAUGGUCACCUUAAGUGUCACCUCAGCCUUCUGAGAUAAG